AUUGAACGCUGGCGGCAGGCCUAACACUUGCAAGUCGAACGAGUGGCGGACGGGUGAGUAAUGUCUGGGAAAAUGCCCGAUGGAGGGGGAUAACUACUGGAAACGGUAGCUAAUACCGCAUACCAUCGGAUGUGCCCAGAUUGGAUUAGCUAGUAGGUGGGGUACUGGCUCACCUAGGCGACGAUCCCUAGCUGGUCUGACAGGAUGACCAGCAACACUGGAACGGAGACACGGUCCAGACUUCUAGUGGAGGCAGCAGUGGGGAAUAUUGCAGCAUGGGCGCAAGCUUGAUGCAGCCAUGCCGCGUGGAUGAAGAAGGCCUUCGGGUUGUAAAGUACUUUCAGCGAGGAGGCGUUACUCGCAGAAGAAGCACCGGCUAACUCCGUGCCAGCAGCCGCGGUAAUUC
rnacentral:rRNA from 1 species